rnacentral:rRNA from 1 species
UACGAAGGGGGCUAGCGUUGCUCGGAAUCACUGGGCGUAAAGGGUGCGUAGGCGGGUCUUUAAGUCAGGGGUGAAAUCCUGGAGCUCAACUCCAGAACUGCCUUUGAUACUGAAGAUCUUGAGUUCGGGAGAGGUGAGUGGAACUGCGAGUGUAGAGGUGAAAUUCGUAGAUAUUCGCAAGAACACCGGUGGCGAAGGCGGCGACCUGGUCCGUGACUGACGCUGAGGCGCGAAAGCGUGGGGAGCAAACAGG